AAUAAGCUAGUAAGUGACCACACUGACUCAUCUAGACUUUAACUUAAGCCUGGGGCAAGCCAUUUCAUCACCCGGAAGAAACCAUGUUCUUAGCCCACGGUUGAAGGGCCAGGUGUGAGCCACGAGAAGUUUUCCCAGAGUGCACAAACCCCAAGAUGCCAGAGCUUCUGGGGAACCACGCUCAUCAGCGUAACUAAAACUCGCUCACCCGCUGAGCUCUCAAAGAGUAAGGAUCACAAUCUACUGCAUAUGCAUGAAGGGGACCACGGGCCGGAGGUUCGGAGCUGCCCAAGCUACGCCUGACCAAAUAUUCCACGGGUUUGAAGACCUUAGCGCCCUAUAAUCUUAUUCAAGUCUACAAAAAUGUCAUAAAGGACAUUUCGUGGCGUAUACUGAAGGAAGAGUGCCUGAGAGUAACCUCGCUUUGAGCCAGUUUGUCAGGCGUUCUCAGCGGACAGCUCGAUUUUGGACGGGGUCCUUGAGCCGCUUCACUAGAAGACGAAGGGGGCGUCUCCCCAGCUCCUGCGGCGUCCGUGGCGAGCUAAGGUGGAGGCUGGUAGCGGCAGCGACGGCGACAGUGGCGGCAGUGCCAUGGCGGGGCUCGCAGGAUCCCUGCUGCCUUGGUGAUCCCGGGCUGACAGCCAGAGAGCACAGCGGCUCAGCUCCUGGAGAGAGAGUCGAAGAGAACGAAGGGCAGCCACCUGUGCCUGCUGGCUCCCAUUAGGUCGCUUCCUGCAGCGGUGCCUGGCAGCCUUGGUGAAGGCCCUGCCCGGCAGAGAUCAUGUAUUGCCUCCAGUGGCUGCUGCCCGUCCUCCUCAUCCCCAAGCCCCUCAACCCCGCUCUGUGGUUCAGCCACUCCAUGUUCAUGGGCUUCUACCUGCUCAGCUUCCUCCUGGAACGGAAACCUUGCACAAUAUGUGCCUUGGUUUUCCUGGCAGCCCUCUUUCUCAUCUGCUAUAGCUGCUGGGGAAAUUGUUUCCUGUACCACUGCUCCGAUUCCCCACUUCCGGAAUCAGCCCAUGACCCCGGUGUUGUGGGCACCUAACAUCUACCGAGAUAGCUUGCCAAGGAAGCAGAAGACGGGAGGGGAGGCAUUGGCAUAGGUCAUAAAGCAUUGGAGUUUCAAAUCCCGCAGCCCUGCGGGUACCACAUUCCUAAUGGAGCCUUUUGGCCUGUGAUGUUUUACCCUUACAAUGUGAAUACUGGCACUAAUGGGUGCUUCUGUUGUAGAGUCCUGUAGUCGUGGGUGGUCUUAUGGUUGUGUACUCUGUCACCAUCUGGGUCCCGGCUGACGGAUUGGCCCACCCAUUACUCAUUGAUUUGGGGAGUCUGUCCCCUUGGGAUGAGCUGGGUGGAUACAAUGUAGUCUCAGCAUCACCUCCAUAACCCUUCCUCGGCAAGAUCUUCCUGUUCCCGCCUCAGUCCCCUUCCCUGUUUCCCCUUGGUUCUCUCCCACCCCUUUCCUUUUUGGGGGAGCACCUGUCUAAGACAGGGCUUGUUUUUGCACUUAUCUCAAAUUUGAAGAGAUUGCUGACGCCCGAGAGCCUCGCUUUUUCAUCCUUCGUUCCCUGUUGAGAAGGUGAGACGGAAUCAUGUCUCAACUGCUCGUUGUCUGCAGACCUCCAGUAUUUUCUCUGCCUCAUUUUUAAGAAAGAAGUAGUGGGGAGACAUUGUUCUUUGGCCUGGGUAUCUGGGCUCUUGCCUUCCAGCCCAGCCUCUCUCCUUUUGCUCUUCCUCCUGCCUCUCUCAGCUGACCUAAAGGGACUGCCUCAUGUCUCCAGUGCAUGCUCUUCAGGAGGGAGAUGUGCAGUAUUCUAGUAGACCCAGUGGUCCCUGGCUGAGUGAAUGGGAAAGUAUUACAUUUUUCAUAGCAGCCAUGAUUCCCUUGAUAGGUGUUUGGAUAUUUUUUGAUGUGCCCUGUAUGUGUGUGUGCACUUAUGUCAGUGUGGUUGUGUGAGUGUGUGUGUUGUGUGUGUGUAUUUACAUACAAAUACAUGUGUAUAUUCCUUUUGAAGAAGCUUUACUGAAUGUGUUCUGAUUUUGAGGUUUAGUAGUAGUAGCUAGCUGUAGUAGGUCCUGCUGCAGUUUUUAUUUAGCAUGGGGAUUGCAGAGCGACCAGCACAGUGGACUCCAAGGUGGUUCAGACAAGACCCAGGGGAGCGGUCACCAUCAUCCUCCCACCAGGAGCCUCUCCAUCCCUGCAUAUGUAGACUGUACACUAUGAAGAAUACACAGGAAGAAAGAUCUGGUGACUUUGUACUUGUUUGCUUUUCUCUGUGCUUCAGAAACAAGUGUUUGCAAAUGAGACUUUCUCCUGGCUCCUGCCCACUGGGGAUCAGCAUGGUUGGACUUCCGGUCCAAAGUGUCCCUCCUCUCGUGAGCGAGUGGGAGUGGUGGGCCAGGCACAGGGCAGAGCUGGAAGCAGGCAUCUGGGGAGUGGGACUUGGAGGCCACACUUGUGAAACACUCGGACUGCUGUUGUAAAGCUUUUCUUUCUGGUGUGUUCGUUCCACAGCUGUUUGAAAUGUUUAAUAAAGCUUUAUAAACUUUACUUUGUGGUUUUAUGUGGCUGCAGUCCAUUUGGGUCAUGGUGUUGGAUUUCUGAGUUGGUGGGGGGCAGGGUGAAGCACACAGGACGGAGUCCUUGGCGCCAGAGUACCUUAGCUGGAAAAUCUGAUCUGUUCUCUGGAGAACAGAUGCUGGAAUUGGGGGAGGAGAGCAGGGGCCAGUUCGGGCAGUAAACAGGAGGGAGUCUGGAAGUUUUCAGAGAUGAGACGUUUGCACUUCUCAGCUCCCAUGGCUUCCUGCCUGAACCUGUUUGCUCUAUAAGAUUUGAGGAACGGGUCCCUUGAUAAACAACUUGGGACAGCUGGGGCUCUAAUCAUCAAGGAUUUUUAUGGUGCUGCUUUUGAAGUAAAAAUAAGUGAACCCCCUUGUGGCAUUUCAGUUGGAAAAGUAAAUAAGGCUCACCAUCUACCCAGCACAUCUUAGGUGUCAGCUCAGAAGCACAAGAGAGUACAGUCCCUUGCUGUGGAUGUGCACGUGGGACUGAGUGGGACCUGGGACACUCAGUUGGGGUAGCAUGCCAGCGCCCUGUGCUGGGCAUACACCUCCAACUCUCUCAGAAAGCAGGACAGGGACACUGCCUGAGCAGCAGGUGAGGUGGGUCUGGUGACUUCAGGGGAGCCGAGUGACCUCCCCAGACAUUUCCUUUAUUGUGGGAAAGCUGUAUGGAUCUGCUCCUGCUCUUUUGCAUUUUUCUGCCUUUUUUGCAUUCCUGGCAUUGCUGAUCUAUGAUUUAUUUCCUCUGAUUAUAACUUUCCAAAGAGACAACUGUGAUCUGUAUAUAAUCCCAGCACUCGGGAAGCUGAGGCAGAAGGAUUCCUCUGAGUUCUGGGCCAGCCUGGGCUAUAGAGUGAGACCUUAUCUAAACAAAAAAAUGGAAUUACCAAAGAAUUAUCUAUUUUAGAGGGGUUUCUUUGGAAAACUGCAGUGACCAUUCUCAGGGUGUCUUUUCUGUCCUCUUCAGUGGCACGCUUGCUUCUCGUGGUCUUUGCUGUGUGUAUAGCUCUUUGGGGUUCUACAGAGCUUGACAAGCUGAGGAGCUGGGCAUAGGGAAAGGCAGGUUUGUUCAACAAACACAGAGACCUUGUAUGAGGCUUGCUGGAGAUGUCAGGACAAACAAGCCUGAUACUCUAGGACAUCAUGAUUCUAGCCUAGUGGGGAAACUUAGCAAAAUAGACAACCGCAGGUUCUGAAAACAAACAGAGGCUGUUGUGUCCCUCUCCUGUGGAGGACCUGGAUCCCAAGUGAAGCUAAGACCAUUGCUUAUUUUGCUCUCCCUUGGAAAUCGGCUUUCUGUUUUAGAUCAUGUGCUUGAGAGUUACAUAUAGGCCUCCCUCUGAGAGGUCUGUGGCCCUUUCCGUAGGGUGCUAGUAGCCCAUCCCUUGAAGGGUACUUGUCAUGUCAGAGUUCAUUCUGUCCACAGGGCUUCCCACCUUACCUAGAAUGCUGUCCUCCCUGGAGUAUCUUUCAGGAAAACAAAAUGGUGCUUCCUGUGCAGAAGGCCACUAGGCCUUCCGGGGCCUCCCACUACUGCACACGCGUUGCGGUCAAGGCCCUGUGAGAAGAUGUCCUGUUCCCGACGUCAGUUUCCUGAUAGGUAAAAGGUGAUCUCUAAAACAAAUAGUUUUCCCAACCCUGAUGAUCUGGGGAUCUCCUCCAUCCCCAACCCACCCCCUAUCUCCAGGCCUCUCGUGGAGCCCAGCUGAGGAAGGUGGCUGAGCCAAGUUGAUGGUGGGAUUCUUAGAGAGCUACUUGCUUGUGCUCUGUGUUUUGAUCUAUGUACCAUGUGAGCCCAGACACUGCCAGUGUCAGGAGCUUCUCUUUGUUUCUUCCUUUCUCUGGUGAUGGUUUGUCUAGAGCCUGUCAUUCAACCUUCAUGGAUACUGUUGCCGAGGUAUGUCAGAGUUCCUCCUAGACGCUGAGUUCCUGGAGGGUAUGGCCCAUGAGUCCUGCUCAGGAGACCUGCCCUAAUCAGUCUUUUAUUUUUUGGUUAGACUCUCAUGUGGGGUGAGACCCUGGGACCACAGUGGACAGUGUCUGCCCUUGCAGUGUCCUCCAGGCUGAAGUAGGGGGGGAUGAUAUUUAUUACUCAAGUUAUCUCCGAGAUCCAGAACUUGGCACUAUGGCAGGUGUUCUGGGAGUCUCAGGAAAGAGCUAAUGCAGUCCUGGGAGGAUCGACUUGCAGACCUGAAGAUCAAGUGCAGGUAUUUGAGCACUGAAGUAAUGAGUGAGAUGUUGCUUUUCACAGCAUCUCUGCUUAUGGAGAAAGAGACUGAGCUGCAGAGUAAAUGGAAGGACCGCUCAUAUCUAGCUGCCUUAGAAUCAGACCCCAAAGAGCUUUUGCAGAAAGAAGUCAGUCUGUUUAAAUCUGGAGCACUGACAAUUGGGGGGGUGGGGCACUAUGAGAAGAUUUUAAAGCUGAGUUUGCCGCUAGCAGGCCCCAGACAGCUGGGAGCUAAUGGGGAGCCAUUACAGUAAGCAGCGUGUGAGGUGGGAUUCAGUCCUUAGGAAACAGUGUACGUUUGAGCAGUGGAAGCAGCAGGACCACCAGCCUGUCUAGAUCACUGGGAAUGAGGAAGAAGGGCUCACAAGUGGCAGUGGUGAGGUUAGCACCAGGACUGGGGAGAGUGGAGUAUGUUGAAAACAGCAUUAUCCAUCCUGGUAGGGCAAGCCAAGCCAAGCCUUGAUGGAAGUUCCAUGUAGAAGGCCUGUCUUCCUUUGGGAAUCUAGACAAAGGGAAUCAAACACUGGUGUCCUGGGUGGACCGAGAGGGCUGAAAGCCUGCUGUGAGGCUUCACGGAGCCCUGGGUCUUCCGCUAUGCCUUAGUGUGUGUGAGACUGUCCAGUUCCCCUCUGGUUCCCUCCCUCACCUUAGAAAGAAGGUCGUUAGCAUCAGCCUCCAGGCAGUCUUCAUGGUGCUACCUCCUCUGUUGGUAAAAGGCUACUCCAUGGCCCUACUAGGCUCUGUCUCCUCAGAGCAGCCAGCACAGGGGGAUGUGUGAGGGUGCCUUGUUGCAUCUAGUUGAAAAGACCCUUCCCAGAGACAAAUCUCUGGGUGGUUCUCACCUCUUCUCUUUCCCUGGGCAGUUGUAGAGAACCCACACUUGAGUGGACAGCCUGCCCAAGCUACCACUCCCCUGUUCCAUGUAGUGGUGGCAACCUUCCAUAAAAGAGGCAGGGAGGCAGACGAUUGCGGUGCCGUGGGCUUGAUUUCCCACCACUUGGCAUAUGACCUUGUUCCUCACCAUUUGUGUUCCUUGAGGCCUGUUGCCCCGUUCAUUAGUCAGGGAAGAAGUCUUUAACAUUUCCAGAGUCAUCUCCUGUGAGAUAUUGGUGACCUUUAUUCUUAUUACUUCAGUCUUGAGAGAUGUUGGCUGAAAGUGUGUUAAGGCAAUGAAGUAUUUAAUCAAAGGAUUUUACAUUAAAAGAAUAAACGUGAGCUUUACUCGUGGGUGCAAAAGUGCCAAGAAUAUUCAUGUAUAGCCAAGGCAGAUGUCGAAGGGCCCACGAGGGAGGAAAAUAGACAAAGCACUUCAGUGGGUCCCUGGUGCCCCGGUUCCCACGUCUUAGCUGGGUCAUUGAAGUCCUGCACAACCCAUAAUCACAGAGGCCAUGUCACCAGACCAAACAGAGAACUUGCCUGACCAGGCCUGCCACAGUACUGGUUGGUCUGUGACUUGGUGGGUAAAAUAGGUGGUGACUCAGUCACUUAGUGCUACACUCCUGAGGCAUUAGGAAGCUGGUUUUUCCUAGAAGGAGGGGAACCCCCUCCCACGACUCCUACUGGCAACUCUGCAGUACCAAGGAUUAGUUUCCAGACCAGUAUUCUGAGACAGCAGAUGAAAAGAAACUCAUAAAAAGCACACAGCCUGGCAUCCUUUCUGUAGAGUGGAGCACACAGGCAGGCACCUGUCAGGCCAGAUAUAAUGGAGUCCUGAUUACUCCUCUUUCCCUGCUCUGUGCCUUGAACCCCGCCUGCGUUUGAACGCUUCUUGCUCUUGCUGUCCUUUCGUAUCUGGCAGGUGGGUGAGCUGACACCAGUGUAGAGUACAGAUUCCCUGUUCCACGACUGAGGCCAGCACUGGCCAGUGGUUCUGUGUUUGACUGCAGAUUGAUGGCAACCCAUGGCCCUUGAUUCCCAAACUGUAGACCAUCAGCCAAGUUGGUUGUUGGCAUUGCUCCUCUUGCCUUUGCCACCUUCUCUCCCGUAGAUGGGGAACAUCUUCACCAGAGUGUCAGGCUCAUAGCUGCCUCCCUUCGCCCCUCUCCACUGCUGCACCUGCAUCCCUGAAAGCAGACUGUCCCAGAUGACAGUCUUACUCCAGACUGUGCCCUCUGUGGCCCACAGGCAUCAUCUCUGUAGGCCUGCUACUUAUAGAUGGGCAGGGCCCUCUGUGGGGGCUGCUUUUGGUGGAUGGUUUGGGGUUUCUUUUUACGUACUAAUCAAGUAUGAAUCAGUUAUUUCCACACUUGAAGCCAUUUUUGUGCGUGCUCUGUGCUGCCAUUUUGCACAGACAGAAACUAGGGCCCACAGGGGCUUAGCACAUACUCAGCUGUUGCCACAAUGGCCCUCGUGGCAGUGCCACCUAACAGCCUGGUGUGCGGCUGUGGAACCUCCUUAGCUGAUAACACUACUGUACCUGUAAACCUGACUUUCUGGCCGCUCAGUGUUUCCCAGGCUCAUGGCUUUUUCUUCAGUUGGAUCCAGUCGUCUCUGGCUGCUCAGUUGCACCCGUGUCUCUGAGCGUCCAGCCCAACUCCUUUCAACUUGUGGUCCACAUGGCUGCCAUCGGGCUUCCUUACUAACUUAAGGCAUUUUCUGUGGCACUUGGCUUAACCUUCGACCUCUGCAGGGAUGGCAUGCUCUCUCUGAGUGCAGUCACUGGUGCUCACAGUCUGCCUGACACCCCUGUGCGCCUUCUCCAGGUGCCAAUCAGAGACACUUGUCCUCAAAAGAGGUGGUCCAAAAAGGUGUCUGGGAUUGGGGUGACAACUGUCACCAUCAUGAGGACCAAGAACGACUCACUGAGUCACUUAAAGGAUUUAAUUGUCCUUUUUGGGAUUAGCAUAGUGAUAGAGGCAGAAAGGAGACUCAAGUUCGAGGGGAACAAGUAAAGGUGAGCUUGCUCUCCCAGCUUCGAAGGAAGGGGACUUGCUGAAAGGCAACUCCUUUUGGACUGCUCCUUUGUGUGGCUGCUGCUUGGCAAACACUUCUCUAGUCAGAAAACCUGAGCAGUUGUCAGUAGGACCUCCUGAAACCCUCCAGCCCUAAGAAGGGCACACCUGUGCCUACUGUACUGAGGGCUUGCAGACAUGAGUUGCCCAGGAGUAGGGGCAGACCUGACACUUGCCCCAUUGCCCUCCAGAGCCUUACCUCAACACUGCCCUUCUCCUCCUACCAGUCCUGAGUGGAAGAGGGGUGUAGCGCUGCCGAGGGUUAGCACUGAGAGAAGACUGGGGGGUGUGAGGGUUGGAACACUCCUGUUCACAGGGGAAGGGGGAAUGCAGAUAACUUUUUAAACAGUCAAGUUGGAAAUGAGAACCUAUUAGAAAUUUGGAGUGAGGGAGGAAUUAGAUAUUUUAAAGUAUCUAAAAAGCAAAGAAAUGGCACCAGGAAGGCAAAGGCCAGCAGUGAGCAAGGACAAGUGAUGGUCCAUGUCCUGACUGCCUGGGGUGGACUGGACUAUUUAAUCAGGGUUAACGUGGGACAGAAAGCAUGGAGCAACCCACCCACCCAAGCCAAAGAAGCUUGGCACCGGGCCAGGGACCUCAUCUGUCCUGAAACCGUUGCUGCUGGGAGGCACCAAGUAAAUAUUUGCUGAUAGGAAAUAAACAUCUGAAAUGAGAAAUUACAUCAAACAAAGCAGCCAGGCAUGGAGCUCAUACCUCUUAUCCUAGUGUUUGGUAGGUAGAGAUUGAAGGAUCAGGAGUUCAAGGUCACCCUUGGCUAUAUAAGGAGUUUCAAGCUACAUGAAACCCUGUCUAAAAUAAAUAAAUAGUACAGUAAUUAAUUGAAAUUGUCAGUGUUAAGGUGACGCUGAUAGACGGGAACCAGGGUCUCACCCAUUAGCCAGCUGCAUGGGGCUGCCUGGGUCUUCUCAGAAUUGAUAACACACAGUGGUCAGGACUAGAAAAGCGACUUUCCUUUGAUCACAGUUCUGCCUCGUGCUUGAAGGUUGUAUGCACUUGUGGGUCUUGAGAUUCAGGGAUCCCCUAGAAAGUCUCAAUCAUGCAGACUUCACAUAGAGGACCUCCAGCAAGAACUGGCACAAAUAGUCUGUGCGUUCUGAUUGUAGCAUCCCUUUCGCAUAGUGUAUGGCUUCCUCCCUGGGUAGGUAACAUCUACUACCCGAGUCUUACAACCCAUAGCUCCACACUAUUUUUUCUUUGUUUUGUUUUGAAACUUUAUGUUUAUUUUAUAAUUGUUUUGCCUACAUGUAUGUAAAGUGUACCAUCUAGGUACCUUGUGCCCACAGAGGCCAGAAGACAGCAUUGGAUCCCCUGGAGCUGCCGUAUGGACGUCAGAACCUAAAAACCCAGGGCCUCUGCAAAAUCCACCACUGCUUUUAACUGCUGAGCCGUUGUUGCAGCCCCUGCACCAUUUUCAGUCAGUUAGAUAGGCAGAGUCCCCAUCCUGAUUUUCCCAGUAAGGAUGCUUCUCCACUGAUAUGCCGGGAAUUAUCCCAAUCUGUAGGAGAAGCAGUUAAACUAGAUUGUCCCUGAGCUCCCUUUCAGUGCUAGCAUCAUCUUCAGAUGCCCCACGGCUGUGACAGUGCUGAUUGGGGUGCGGAUCAUACUCUAUUCAUCAGCUCCACACUCCGGAGCGUGGAAGGAUGACCGUGACUGCGGCCCCCAAAGGUGAACUCCCCAUGAGCUGCUGGCUGAGAUGGCUUGGCUGCUCGUGGUGCAGUGUCUUGGCAGACAGACCAUGCAGGUAGGUCAGCACAGGUGAGGAGAGGGUGGGGAUGAACUCUCAUGGCCCCUGAGUAAUGUUUUCUUGUAAGAUUGGAUGCCUCCAGACUGGUGGAUGCCAGCUAGAUGGAUCCAUUCAUAUUGGCUAAGUUGGUGAGCCAUUUCUCCACACUCUCUCACCUUGAAAUGCUGCCUGGUGUUCGUUGUCACUGUAGCCUUCUGGCUCUCUAUGCAGGUGGCACAUUCUUUGAGGACAUAGUUUCAGGUGUCAUCAAUCAACCAGAGACUUGAACCUGGAGCAGGAAAAGGCUUGUCCAAAGUCAAGGUACAGAUUGUUGAUUUUCUGUUCACUAGAAAGUAAUCUCUAUUCUGAACUAAGGUGGCUUAGUUGAUAUGCUUUCUAUGCAAGCAUUAGGACCCGAGUUCAAUUCCCAGCCCUGUAUAAUAGAUGAGGAAGGAUAUUGACAGCACACACUGGAUAACAAAUUUUAGCUCCAAGGAAAGAUCCAGCUUCAGAAAAUACCGUGGAGAGUGAUAAAGACACCUGACUCCAACCUGUGGCUUGACAUACGCAUGCACAUGUACACACACAAACACAUAAGCAUCUGCUAUUUACAUACAUGUACCAGCACAAAGGUGCAGACAGAUCACAGGAACCAGACCCAAAACUGAGCUGUGACCGACAUUCUAAGGGCAGAUACAACAGGGCACCUGAGAAGAAGGUGCCAUUGGAAGAGACAACAAAAGUACAUAAGUUCCAGAACCCAGCCAAGGGUUUGCCACACAGCUCUGAGGUCAGGGUAGAAGUCCCCACCCCCAGGUAGGGGACAAUUGACCUCUAAUCUGGUUGAGAUGGGGGAGGAGGGAAAUGGAGGGGCUUCAGAACCAGCAAGGCACCCGCGCUCAGCAUCAGGACAGGGGAAGGCUCGGCCAACCAGGCUUGCAGAGUGGGGACAGACAGCGAGGGGCCCCAGAGCAGUGGGAUUAAGUGUGGAGGUGAGGGGAUUAGUUGUGUUGAUGGAAGGAGCAAAAUUCAAUCCUGUUCCUUAUGCAGGGAACCUGAUCUCCAUGUUCUCAGGGAGCCUUCCUCUGCCCUGCUGGUCCUGACUUUGGCUCUAAUUAGCUGUGGCUUCAUCUUGCCUGGUGGCUGGGGUCAUGUCUUAGCAGUCUUUGUAGCUCUGGGCACCUAGCAACAGGCAGCUGUCGAUGUAGGGGCAGAAUGACCAUUGCCUGUCUCGACUUUUCGAUGUCUGAAAUGGAGAUUUAGAUACAUUCAUUUUGUGAAAAAGAUUUCUGUAUGUUAUACAGGAACUCAAUGACAGAAGUAGUGGUUACACUAUCAGGCUCUUAAGGAUACUCUCUUGACUCAAUGUGGGUUCAGCUCCACAUAGUGUGUGCCAUGAGGUCAUGGCCACUGUCUUGUCUGAUCAUGACAGCCAAGAUGCAGUGAGGCAGCCAGCUAGCACUGACCUGUAUCACAGGGAAAGAAACUGAGAUCCAAAGAAGCAAAGAAAAAAGAUUCUGGUAAGAAGUAGAGGGGAUUGGGAUGAGGCCGUAGUCUUGAUUCUUUGGUUUCUUCUAGGCAGUAUAUACUGAAUUCUAGCUAUCUCUUUCAUACUUGCACCAGAAGUCAAGGUUAAGCGAGCCAUGGGCUUAGCUGCCAGAGCCAGGACCCAUAUUAUGCCUUAUGGGCCUAGGUAGUGUGUCUUCUGCAUGGUAGAAGGCUUUACCUCAGUUACGUGAGAUUCCUUACUAGGAAAUGGAAUGGGUUUAUAGAACCGAAUGAGAAGUGAAGAAUGCUGGAAAAUCCUGAUCCCCUUUAACAGCUGGUCUAUCCAGAGGCUGGGGACUGUGUGAGACAGCUCACAACUAGACCAGUAGGCUUGGAGAGCGAUGAGUCAGGACUUCACGGGAGCUAGAACGCACAAGUACUGAGAAUGGGUGGCUGGUAAGAGGUCAGGCUGGGGCUGGAGAGAUGGUUCUGUAGUCCCGUGCUCACACUGCUCCUGCAGAGGACCCAAGUAGGUUCCCAGUACUCAUGUCAUGCUGAGUCUUCUGACCUCGGCAGGCUCCUACGUUCACACACACACACACACACACACACACCCUGAAAUGUACUUGCAUACUCAUGCACACACUUAAAAGAGCAGGCCAGGAGUACCCAGCUGUCUUGAGUGCAGCCCUGAUGGGUGACAGGCUGCUGGGUUUAAGAACAUAGUACUGUGAGUCAAUCAGAGACAUUGGAAAGUGACUCAGAUAUAACCAAGGUGUUGAAGACAUAGACAUAUAGGCCUGGCAGACACCUAAAAUCCCAAGUAGAAGGCUGAAGGCAAGCUGUCCUGGAGCCAUUGCCACUCAAUAGUGGGGACCCAAAGAAAGUGACUUACCAGAGACCAUGUGGAGAUGUCAGAGGGCUAAAGUCAAGAGCAGGAGUUAGAGAUGUCCAAGCUGAUGAAGGUGUCAGAAAAGGAAAGGGUCCAAGAGAUGCAACAAAGAACUUGGAGAGACUGUUGCCAUGGCAACCAAGGUAGAGAAGGGUUUCAAGGAGAGAGUAAUCAACAUUGUCAGAUGUGGCAGUGAAUUCCAGUCAGAUCAAGACAGGAAUUUUCCCUUUGCAUUUCAGGAUUAGCUGACUUGUAGUGGAUUUAAAAGAGCAUUUGUAGGAAGGAACACAAGAUUGUCUCCGAGAGCCCUUUAAAAAAUCAAGGAGAACUUAGAGAUGUGAAAGACAGGUGUAUACAGGGUGAGGCUAGGAAAGACGAGCGUGUUCAUGGACAUGAGCUCCAAAUGUGAUGAGCACACAUUGUUCACUAGCACAGUUCCUGGCACCCCUUCAGUGGGCCUACACUGGGUUCUUUGGGGGAAGCCGAGCAGUUAGUAGGGCUGCGUAGUGACAGAGGAGAAAGAAGCAGUCACGCACAUCAGUGUGCAGGGUCCCACACUGAUGGAUGCUCUGACAGAAGCAUGCUCCACACCCAGAUGGGAAAUCCAGUAGAAAGUAUUCUGGGUUGAGAGUAACCAUGUGCCAGAGGCUUACUCCAGGAUGGACAGAAGCAGACUCCAGAGAGAUAGACAGACAGGGAAGAACUAAGGAGAUACAGGGCCUGGCCUUUUUCAUCUUAAUCUUGAGGGAAAGAGAGAUGCUGAUAUAUGAAUAUCCUGGACUGUGGAGUCAGUAUAAUUGAGCAAUUAGGGAUGGAGGCAAUUAUUUGAAAUAAGCUCCCAAUGGGGCUGGGAUCAAGUACAGAGGAAGAUAAAUUAGUUUGGGGCAAUAAUGUGCAUAUAACCAAAUGUGGGCAAAACUCAAUUAUUUACCUUUUAGAGAGUAACAUGAUCCCAUGUUCUUUUGGGAGCUUUUAUCUGCCCUCUAUCCUGCCUGCAUGUCUAAUUAGCACCAGUUUGAUCCUGCUUUGUGGCUGGGAUCAUGACUUAAUAUUCUGUGUGUAGUAAUCAGUGAGCUCUUUAAGUACCAAGCUAGUAUCUUCUGCUUUAGACUGGAAUUCCUAAAGUCAACAUCUAUUCUUGCUUCCACAAAAAAGUAUGACUGUUGCAGCGCUAGAAACAGGAAGUAAAGCAGUUAAGUCUGGGGAGGCAGACACUUGGGUGACAGGUGAGGAAACGGAGACUGUCUCAGGAAUCCCUGACGUCUAGAUUCACCUGAGCAUCACCUCCCUCACAAAGAUAACAGUGUUCCUUCCAGGAGGGAAUGGAAGCCAGAGAGACAUAGCUGAUUAUACCAACACCACACAAGUGAUGAGAUGAUGAGAGACAGGGACAGAAAAGAGGAAAGAGAAACCAACAGGUGGGGAGGUCAGGCCAGCAGAUUCACACUGAUCUUCCUGGAGAGCUUGCCCACUCUCAAAGUGGCCGCCAUUAGUGUCCAUCUUACUGUAUUGGUGUGGUCUAGAGACAGUCUGUAUUUGCACCCAAACUCAGGUGUUUGCUAUGGAUUUGUGCAUACUCAGAUGGACUCACUCCAUCUGAGGCACAUUGUGUGUGAUGUGACAGAGAUGGGGUCUGAUAGACAGCAACCCUGCUGAGCACCUCUCACAGCCUGCCCCAUCUUUCCUCCCAGAUCCUGUGUCUGGUACCUUCAUGCUGCUGAUCUCUGUCUGUCUUUGUGAGCCAAGUAUUUUAAUGAGCAAAGUUUUGAAUGGUGUCUUAAUACCUGAUACGCUUGUCAGAGUUCCAUGGGAAAAAAAUCUUAUUAAGCGAGACUGCAUUGGAGGGAAAAAUAACAUCAUUAGGAUGCCGUCAGCGUCUCCCAUCAACAGCCGAGGCGCCCGUCUCCCGUGGUAGGCGGUAUCCACACUGGAGAUGCCAUUGAGCCCUGUGGCCUACAGGACUUGCCUGGGGUGGCUGUCUGCAUCUGCGUCCACUCCAGUGCUCCACUCUGCUGGCCGCACACAGACACACACAGCCUUCCUGCCUUCCAUCUUAGCUGUGUCCUGUCGACUGAUGGUUAAGAUGCCUUUGGUGGCUCCUUGUGCUGGUCCCCUUCUGCUCACAUACAAGGAUUUCUGUAGGACAAGGACUUGGAACUGUUGGGUCACAGGGAAGAUAUGUCAUGAAUUCAGAUAAAAAACAACUACAGUGUUCUCCAUAGUGCCCAGUUCAACCUCCUGCCAGAAUGUCUCCAGGUUAACGUUUUCACCAAUUGGGUGGGUAAAAAUACUGUCUUGGGUUAGUGUGCACUGUCCAUAUCCCACCCCAGCCCACGCUUUUAUUUAUCCCUAUUCCUAGUCCCCUCUCUGGUCUCUGGACAUGUGCCCAUGUCCCUCCUGUCUCUCCUCCUCUGCCUGCCUUCUUCCUUCUUUUCCCUCCCUCCCUCCCAUCUCUUUUUCUUCCCGUUUUUGAGACAGACACUCACUGUGUCGCCCAUCCUAACCUCAAGCUCAGGAUUAUGGGUGUGAUGCUACAUCCUGCCCGUUUCUUUCCUCCUUCUUUUUUUUUCUUUAAGAGAUUUUUUAUCUUUAUUGAUUUUUAGUUCUUUAUAUAUUUUAUGAAUUUGUUAUACUAAUGCUUUGUUGGUGGUGGCAGAUAUUUUUCUACAUUGUGGGGUUUGACAUUUAAUUGAAUUGCUUUUAGAAAAUUUUAAGGUUUUGAUAACAGUUUUCUAUUGGUUUUGAUUUUUAUCCCUUCUUUUGACAAUCUUAAGAAGCCCCCUUUAUAUUAAUUUCUUGUAUUUUCUUCUCUGGAAUCUAUAAAUUACAUAUAUUUAUACAUAGUUUGUAAAUAUAUAAUCAUAUAUGUGUAUGUAUAUAUGUAUAUGUAAAAAGAAUAAAUUCCAUAUGUAUAAAUCUUACCAUCUAAUGUCACCCGCCAAAAACACUAUGUUGUGAUAUGUAGACAGUUUGAUCUAAACCUGUUCUCUUUACCAGGCACCAACCCUGCCAUUCCUGUGCACCGUCAGGCCACCACUAGUCCUUGAUUUGUGUCUUUGCUUCCAGGCUUGAUGCUAAGCUUUGAUACGGGCAGGACCGGCCGACUAGUCCUCCAGACUGACUAGACAACAGUUUUGCAGAUCUCCUUUGUUCAUCCUUAUGCAUUAGUUCUACAGCAUGAAUUUUAAAAUUUAUCAACUUUCAAGAGAACUUUCUAUAGGAAAUUUUGUUAGAUUUACACUGAAUUCACAGAUAAAUCUGAAGGAAGUUGGCCUCUUUUUCCUGUGUGCUCACGGAGCCCUCCCAGACCAGAGAGCAUCUCGUCCCUCCAGAGGAGCCUGCCUCCUCGGGUCAGCUUGCCUCUGUUUCUUGGUGGAUUUGACCCUCAGUCCUUGUACAGGGCUUCCAGCAGCUCGGAAUGGCUCCCCUGUGCUCCUGUUUGCUUGACCCGUGUUCGCCACACUUCGUCCCAACCUUUCACUAAUCUGGGAGCUUGCUCUGCACACACACAAAGUAAACAUUCUUCCUCCCUGGGCUCAAACACACAAGCACCACUAAACACAGAGCUGGCAUAAUUAGCUGAAAACAAAUUAGAAUCUUUCCAAAUUACACUUUAAUUAAGGAAGCAAAGCAUGAAUACAUUCUCCCUGUUAGAGGUGGAGUGAUGUGAGCCCAGCUGCUGUCUCCUGUACCACAGUCCUGCAUCCCAUCCCUCCACGGUCCUGCAUCCCAUCCCUCCACAGUCCUGCAUCCCAUUCCUCCACAGUCCUGCAUCCCAUCCCUCCACAGGUUUAGGAUCUGCUUCUUGGGCAUGGGUGCUUUGCAAGAGUCCACCACGCUGAGAGCUUGCCUGAGGGUACGACUUGACUCCCUCCUGUAUCUUUACAACACAGCCAUGCUGGUCCCUCAUGUUCUUGUUCUUUAACACAGAAAAGCACCCAUUCCCUCAGCUCUCCUCCUCCAUCUCCAGACUCCGCCAUCAGUUGGCUUUGAGCAGCCUUCUCUUGGCAGUGAUGGAGAAGUGGGAUGCUGGGUCUGCACGUUUUCAGUUUUAGCAGGCUUCACCAGUGCCCGCCAUGGUUUCUGAACCAGGCAAGUGUCUAGCCAGAGGCCAUGAGACUUUAAUCCGUACACUGUGAGCAGUUCUCAGUGUUUGCCAAUUGAAUGGGUGAAAAAGUUAAAUCCCUUUUUAAAUUUGUAUUUUCCUGUUUGCCAGUGAGGUUUCCAUGUGUACAUUGGGCAUCUGUAUUAUUCCUGCUCCAAACUGUCAAUUUUUACCAAGCUUUUCAGCUCAUUGACCUGUAGAAUGUCCUGAUGUAAUCCAGGUAGUAAGCUCUUGUGCUUUUGGACAAAUAUUUCUCCAAGCAUGUCUGUUGCUCUCAGCUCAUUGUAGAAUCUUGCAUCAGACAGAAGUUUCCCAUUUUGAUCAAAUGCAUCUCCUCCAUCUCCUCUAUUCCUUUUUGAAUGUAUAUCAUGUUUGGUUUAAAUAGAGCCCUUAUUCUCCUCUAAUGCUUUCACAGGUUUGUCCUUGGCUCUUUCUCGUAUCUGGAAAUAUAAAGAUUUAUUUAUUUAUUAUAUGGAAGUACACUGUAGUUGUCUUCAGACACCCCAGAAGAGGGUGUCAGAUCUCAUUACGGAUGGUUG